rnacentral:tRNA from 1 species
GCCAGUAUGGUGGAUAUGCCCUUCGGCUUGUAACUGAGUGGAUUCGGGUUCGAAUCCCGAGUAAGGCA